GUCUCCUCUAGCUGUGGAGGGAGAUGGGCCUGGCUGCUGGGGAGCUUGAGAAGGUGGUCUCUAAUCCCAUGAACCAUCAACCAAUCAUGCUUUGAGACAAAACACUGCGAAACUGGAGUGAAGGAUCUUCCUGCCUUCCUGGGAGAGGAGAUGAGGAGCGGCAUGAAGAGUGAUUGCGGAGCAAACGGCCAAUUAUAUUAAACCCAGAUCAUUGCAGAUGGACCACACCAGACUGAGGCUGUGUUGCACCUGCUCCAGAGAGCUGCCCUUGAUGAACCAAUCGUCGAGAUACGGGAAGAUCUGGACCCCCCAACAUCUCAGGUCGCCUCCUGUCCCUCUGAGGGGCGGGCUCAGAGCUUCCUGGCUCCUCCCACUCUGGUGUCUGGAGGGACUCGACCCUCUCCGGAGUGGCGGGGAGCCACACCGCCUUGCUGCAGCAUCGCUCUCAGGUGCACCCUCAAAAUGAUUGCUUCUGGCCCCCUGGGUGUUUGGUGGCCCCAGGAUGGGCUGGAAAUCGGGAGGAAGAAGGGUGACAAUGAUCAAAACUGGUAUCCCUUCUUGUAGAUCCCUGACAAGGUUAUAAGGUUCUUGGUGGCGGCGGUGAGGCCGGAAGGGUUUUCUGGCUGAUUGCGGUGUGUGCAUGCCCAAUGAGCGAAGGGUAGCCCUAAUGUCCUUCAACUGUGCAGCCUGGCAUCUGUCUGAUCCGAGAACAGACCAACUCCGUCAAAAGGGAGGUCCUGGACUGAGGCCUGCAUCUCCUGGGAGAGGCCCGCUGCCUGGAGCCAGGAGCUGCAUCACAUGAUCACCACUGUUGCGACCACCCUUGCCAUUGAGUCUGUAUGUCCCAUGCCAUCUGCAGGGAACAUCUCACCACCGCAGUACCCUCCUCCACCAGAGUGCCAAACUCUUGGGCCAAACCCAAGGGAGGGAUUCCUGGAACUUUUUGAGACUGUCCCAGAGAUUAAAAUUGUACUGGCCCCCAGGGCCUGUUGGUUCACCACCCAAAAUUGCAGGCUAGCGACUGAAUAAAUUUUUCUCCC